rnacentral:rRNA from 1 species
GACGAACGCUGGCGGCGUGCUUAACACAUGCAAGUCGAACGGAAAGCCCUGCUUUUGUGGGGUGCUCGAGUGGCGAACGGGUGAGUAACACGUGAGUAACCUGCCCUUGACUUUGGGAUAACUUCAGGAAACUGGGGCUAAUACCGGAUAGGAGCUCCUGCUGCAUGGUGGGGGUUGGAAAGUUUCGGCGGUUGGGGAUGGACUCGCGGCUUAUCAGCUUGUUGGUGGGGUAGUGGCUUACCAAGGCUUUGACGGGUAGCCGGCCUGAGAGGGUGACCGGCCACAUUGGGACUGAGAUACGGCCCAGACUCCUACGGGAGGCAGAAGUGGGGAAUAUUGCACAAUGGGCGGAAGCCUGAUGCAGCAACGCCGCGUGCGGGAUGACGGCCUUCGGGUUGUAAACCGCUUUCGCCUGUGACGAAGCGUGAGUGACGGUAAUGGGUAAAGAAGCACCGGCUAACUACGUG